rnacentral:snoRNA from 1 species
GUGAGGAGAAGACCCGGUUGAAACUGGUGACAGAGGCAUCCUGGGCCGA